UCGCCUAUCUUUCUAUUAGUAGCCUUAGGUGGGGAAGGAUUAAUCGUGAUCUUCUUACCCCGAUGAGUAAAGCUACAGGAGUUGGUACGGCCAUAAAUCGUAAAUCAUUGUCGAAUAGCCAAGGCCGACCUAAUAUGAUACUUCCGACUUCUAUGGGUAAGACAUCGCACCACACAUGAUCCUGAUAGGAAUGAAGCUGGAUGGGCACACGGCAUCUAAAUUUGAUGGGAAUAGAAAAGGAAUCAAUCCAAGACACACGGUAUGGACUGGGAUGAUCUACAGGAGUUAAUCCUAAUCGCUUAACCGUGUCGGUGGAGCAUUGAUACAGCUAUCGCUAUCAAUGAUCACCUUACAAAUUUUAUCGCCAAAUUUUAUGAAGGUAUGGAAAAUAGAGGUCCUACGCCAGUCUUCACUUUUCUUAGUUUGGGCUAGGACAUACCUAACGACUCCAAGCCUAAGGUCUGACUCAGGUGUGGCAUAACCUGGGAUGUCCUUAGUACUCUCAAAUUGCUCGGCUAAAUCUGGAUCAGCUUCAUAAACUUCCUCCUAAAUAUUUUCUAGAGUUUCUCCUUCUAAUUCUUUUACGAAUAAUGAUCGGUUGGGGCAUUGUGCAGCAAAGUGACCGUAACCAUGGCACUUGAAGCAAUGAGAUCGAGAACUACUUCCUUUUGAUAACUCUCCUAUAGCUCCUUUUUCUUUAUCUUCUUUUC
rnacentral:lncRNA from 1 species